AUUUUGGGGCAAGGAAAUGAGGGGUCAAUGUAGGCAAAUCCGCAUUGUUUAACCUUGAGUUCUGAUGCAUAGGGAAAGUUUCGACAAUUACCGAAUUGAAUGAUUUCACGCUUCCAAGAAAAGCUUCUAAACGUUAUAAAACUAUAGGAACCCGUACCGAGAACGGACACACGUUCCCAAGAUGAGUAUUCUAAGGCGAGCGAGAAAACCAAUGUUAAGGAACUCUGCAAAUUCACCCCGUAAGUUCGCGAGAAGGGGGGCCAUUCUUUGAAUGGCAACAUUAAAUUGUGAGGGGCAACUGUUUAUCAAAAACACAGCUCUCUGCUAAGUCGCAAGACGAUGUAUAGGGGGUGAAGUCUGCCCAGUGCCCGAAGGUUAAGUGGAGCUGUUAGCUUACGCAAAGCAGCAAAAUGAAGCCCGGGUGAACGGCGGCUGUAACGAUAACGGUCCUAAGGUAGCGAAAUUCCUUGUCGGCUAAAUACUGACCUGCACGAAAGACGCAAUGAUCUCUCAACUGUCUCAACAUUGGACUCGGUGAAAUUAUGGUUCCAGUGAAAACGCUGGAUACCCGCAUCAAAACGAAAAGACCCCGUGGAGCUUUACUACAACUUCGUAUUGGAAUUUGGUUUAACAUGUGUAGGAUAGGUGGGAGAUGGAGAAGCGGAGACGCUAGUUUCUGUGGAAUCAACCUUGAAAUACCACCCUUGUUAAAUUGAGUUUCUAACCUAUGACCGUCAUCCGGUCAGGAGACAGUGCGUGGUGGGUAGUUUGACUGGGGCGGUCGCCUCCCAAAAGGUAACGGAGGCGUUCAAAGCUACACUCAAUAUGGUCAGAAACCAUAUGUAGAGCGCAAAGGUAAAAGUGUGGUUGACUGUGAGACCUACAAGUCGAGCAGGUGCGAAAGCAGGACUUAGUGAUCCGGCAGUUCAUUAUGGAAUGGCUGUCGCUCAACGGAUAAAAGCUACCCCGGGGAUAACAGGGUUAUCUUCCCCAAGAGAUCACAUCGACGGGAAGGUUUGCCACCUCGAUGUCGGCUCAUCGCAUCCUGGAGCUGGAGUUGGUUCCAAGGGUUUGGCUGUUCGCCAAUUAAAGCGGUACGCGAGCUGGGUUCAGAACGUCGUGAGACAGUUCGGUCCCUAUUUGAUGUGGGCGUUGGAAUAUUGAUGAGAGCUGCUCUUAGUACGAGAGGACCGGAGUGGACGUACCACUGGUGCUCCAGUUGUUUCGCCAGAAGCAUAGCUGGGUAGCUAAGUACGGAAAGGAUAACCGCUGAAAGCAUCUAAGCGGGAAGCUUCCUCAAAGAUGAGUAUUCCUUAUGAAAUUCCUUGUAGACUACGAGGUUGAUAGGUUGGAAGUGUAAGUGUAGUAAUACAUUCAGCUGACC
rnacentral:rRNA from 1 species